CGCACAUUGCGCCCCUUGGUAUUCCGAGGGGCAUGCCUGUUCGAGCGUCAUUUAAACUAUCAAGCACAGCUUGGCUUUGGACAUCGGUGCUAAUACCGGUCUAAAACUCUCGUGGCGGUGCCGUCCGGCUUCGAGCGUAGCAAGAAUCUUCCCUCGCUCCAGAGGCUACGGCGGGACUGCCAGUUAACUUCUACCUAGAGUUUGACCUCGGAUCAGGUAGGGAUACCCGCUGAACUUAA
rnacentral:misc_RNA from 1 species